rnacentral:lncRNA from 1 species
GAUUCUUUUCUGUUUUGUUUUCUGUCCCCAGCGUGAGGAACCGUGGGCCACGCAGCAGACACACAAUCAGUAUGCCCGGACCGCGUGACCGGUGUUGUCCUAUCCGGUCCUAUGAGCAGGACUGUGAGAGAUGUUCUUCUCCCUUCUGUUCAGAGAAGAAAACAGCAACAGUCCAGCAAAACUAGCCCUGAAGAAGAUCCGCUCGGCAUACACUGGAAGCUCCAUGUGGCUGCUGCUUUCUCCACUGUGUGUUCACCCUGCGGCCCAUUUUUCUCCCUUCCCUGUUUUCACUUCCUUUGCUCUCAGCACCCGGUUCCUGCUCCACCUUGAGGGCCUGGGAAGAAUUCCUCCUCCCCUCCCUCUCUCCCCCUUCUCCUCCUCCCCGGGAGGUGCUCUGACAAAUAUGCCCACUGUCCUCACCAUUUCCAGGGGUACUGUUGUUCCUCGAAUGGAGUUCAGGCCUCUUUUGGGCUGGACCAUGGUGCAGCGGGUAUUUAAGGCUCUACUGAGCUGGGCAGAAUUCCCACUGUCAUAGUCCUUCUUAUCAGUAGGUAAUCAGAAGCCCUUGGUCAAACAUCCCUCUGUGUCAGUCAGUAAUGAGACACAGUGGUGUCGUAACCUCCUGACUAUGGUGCGUAACAUACAGCCCUGGGUUUGUGCUGUUCCUGUCAAAGACACAUAGCUCAUUAGCAAGCAAGGAGUCAAACCCACACUGAGGCACAUCCAUCUACUCCAUCAGGAUGGCAAGGUCACGAACAACCAGGAAACCUGGAAAGAUUUUCUAGCUAAAAGGAGCCUGAGGGCCAUAGUGACUAGUACCACCUGUGCUCUCAGUUUGGGUGCUGGACCUGCAAAAACAUAUGUGGUAUAUCAAGUAUCGUGUAGGUUCAGUCCAUGGUUCCAUGGCAGUAUUGAAUCAGUGUCAGUUUCCUAGUCAUCGUGGUCAUUGUAUUUGGGAAAUGUCCUUGUAUUUGGGAAAGGCACAGUUAAAUGUCCAAUGGGAAGAAACCCCUCUGCCUUUGAAUGCAGGAGUGCAGGGUAAGAGAAUGGGCUUGGAGAUCCAGUUCCCCUGGACUAGUCCCCAAGGCCAAGUCAGUUUCCUCCUGUGUGAUGUAGGGCUAGCAGUACACCUGCACCCAAGGGGGGGGGGUGCUGAUGAGAUGCUGUCAGAAGGAACCUAAGCUGGUGUCCAGCAGAAGUGAGCCCUCCAUGAAUGCUUACUAGCUUGGUGGCCUAUGCGUGACUCAAGGGGACGCACAACAUCCACUGGAUGAAAUGUUGGCCUUAGGGCUGGGGAUUUAGCUCAGCGGCAUAAGCGCUUGCCUUGCAAGUGUGCAGUCAUGAGUUCAAUCCCCAGUACUGGAAAAAAUAAAGAAAAGAAAAAGAAUUGCUGGCCUUGCAGUGUUGAGACCUGUGGUGGAUUGAAAUCAGUGGUCAACUUAAACACCCGCGGAACUAAAUCAGCGUGGUGCUGAGUGCAGAUAGAUGGUCCACCUGAAGACUGCUGCCAGCAUUAAAAGGAGAAUCAGAGAGGAAGAAUAUUGUUGUUUGGAGCUGGUUCUCCUGGAGGAACUUGUCACGCUGGCUUCCCUAACAUGAAUUCGGCAGUUACCACUGGAGGAGCUCAGGACCUUGUUGCUGAGAAUGGCUGCAGUUCACUUUGGGAGAGCUCUGGCCCUUACUUUGAGCAUCACUUCCUGGCUGCUCCAGGGUAGAACCCUCAACCUACUGACACAGCUCCUUUACCCCACUGGUACAGACUUUCUGGCUUCUACAGCUGACCUUGGGGCCUUCCCAGUGCAGAUCUGUGAAGCAGACUUGCAUGAGUCAUUGUCAUGGGCUCCAGGCCUCCAGUUGGACUUGUGGGAGGCGCUAUCACGGGCUCUGGGUCUUCGUCUGGACGCAUGCAGGUUGCCGUGGGAUGCAGGCCCUGGAUGGAUUCUCUAGGUCUUUGGUGUUAUGGACAGAAUACCUGCACUCUCUUUAUAUCUGACUCCUUAGGUGAC